ACCUAGCGAUUAUUGCAUAUUUGUCUGGUGCCCAGUUACCAGCUCAUUCUAUCUGGCCCCUUUAUAGCUGAGGAGAUCGAGUAAGUCCUGCCAGGUUUGGUAAAAGAUCUGCCUCUCCUUUUCAGCUUUCUAAAAAGAAGGAAGACAAAAGACGUUGAUGAAACCUGAGUCUGUGCCUAUGAUGCUCAAUAAGAAACAGUGGGACGAAUGAAUGACAAUCAAGAAUAUACCUCUAAUUUCCAACUACAGGGAAGAAAGAAAACUUUGAAAGGCCAGUGACGCGGGGAUAUACAGUAUGCCCUGUAUACUCUACAUGGAUAGAUUGCUUUUAAAAUUUACCUUAGAAGGCUCUCAAGGGCUGCUGUGUGUGGAAGCUUAUAAUGUCUCUCAACACAGAGCUUGGAGCUGGAAAUCCCAACGUUGCACAAAAAGAACGCGGGACAAGAUGAAUGCUAUAACUUAGUAAUUUCUAGGUCGCUUGCAAAUGAUUACCGUUAAUAAUUACAAGCUUUUAUUGGGCUCUUUCUAUUUUCA